CCUACGGGAGGCAGCAGUGGGGAAUAUUGGACAAUGGGCGCAAGCCUGAUCCAGCCAUGCCGCGUGAGUGAUGAAGGCCUUAGGGUUGUAAAGCUCUUUCACCGGGGAAGAUAAUGACGGUACCCGGAGAAGAAGCCCCGGCUAACUUCGUGCCAGCAGCCGCGGUAAUA
rnacentral:rRNA from 1 species